rnacentral:rRNA from 1 species
GAUGAACGCUGGCGGCGUGCCUAAUACAUGCAAGUCGAGCGAACAGACGAGGAGCUUGCUCCUUCGACGUUAGCGGCGGACGGGUGAGUCACACGUAGGUAACCUACCUAUAAGACUGGGAUAACUUCGGGAAACCGGAGCUAAUACCGGAUAAUAUUUCGCACCGCAUGGUUCGUUAGUGAAAGAUGGCUUUGCUAUCACUUAUAGAUGGACCUGCGCCGUAUUAGCUAGUUGGCAAGGUAACGGCUUACCACGGCAACGAUACGUAGCCGACCUGAGAGGGUGAGCGGCCACACUGGAACUGAGACACGGUCCAGAGGCCUACGGGAGGCAGCAGUAGGGAAUCUUCCGCAAUGGGCGAAAGCCUGACGGAGCAACGCCGCGUGAGUGAUGAAGGUCUUCGGAUCGUAAAACUCUGUUAUUAGGGAAGAACAAACGUGUAAGUAACUGUGCACGUCUUGACGGUACCUAAUCAGAAAGCCACGGCUAACUACGUG